rnacentral:lncRNA from 1 species
CCCCGUGCCAGAGGCGGAACAUGUAUGAAAUGCCAGGUGCCCAGAGGACCCAGGCAGUCCGUCAUUCACAUACCAACCCACGUGCAGGCUUCAAUUCAACCUUGAAGCCAUUUGGGCCUGGGCUUUUUUGAUGACUUAUUUGAUUCAUAGUUUUUUGGUUACUAAUUGAGUCUCUUCACUUGUUAUAGGUCUGUUGAGAUUGUCUAUUUUUUCUUGAGUCAGCCGUCUGAAAAGAACACGAGGUGGACAGGGCAGAGCGGUCAAGGAAAGCCAUAGGAGGAGGGCACUUAUUUGAGCAAAGACCGGCGGGACGUGGGCGUCGAGGGCAUUAAAAGCAUUAUCUGAAUCUCAAAGAAAAGUCCAAGACCUGAUGGUUUCCUGGUGAAUUCUACCAAACGUGUAAAGAAGAACUAAUACGAGCCCUUCAUAAACAUUUCCAAAAAACUGAAGAGAAGGGAACACUUCUUAACGCAUUCUAUGAGGCCAGCAUUACCCUGGUACCAAAGCCAGACAUACACAUGACAAGAAAAGAAAACUACAGACCAAUAUUCCUUAUGAACACUGAUGCAAAAAACCUCAACAAAGUACUGGCAAACUUCAGCGGCAUAUUGAAAGGAUUAUACACUAUGACCAAGGAGAUUUAUUCCUGGAAUUCAAGGAUGGCU